rnacentral:rRNA from 1 species
CUGGUUGAUCCUGCCAGAGGUUACUGCUAUCGGUGUUCGCCUAAGCCAUGCGAGUCAUAUGUUCUUCGUGAACAUGGCGUACUGCUCAGUAACACGUGGAUAACCUGCCCUUGGGACCGGCAUAACCCCGGGAAACUGGGGAUAAUUCCGGAUACCGCAUAUAUGCUGGAAUGCUUUAUGCGUAAAAUGGAUUCGUCUGCCCAAGGAUGGGUCUGCGGCCUAUCAGGUAGUAGUGGGUGUAAUGUACCUGCUAGCCGACGACGGGUACGGGUUGUGAGAUCAAGAGCCCGGAGAUGGAUUCUGAGACAUGAAUCCAGGCCCUACGGGGCGCAGCAGGCGCGAAAACUUUACAAUGCGGGAAACCGUGAUAAGGGGACACCGAGUGCCAGCAUCAUAUGCUGGCUGUCCCGGUGUGUAAACUACACCUGUUAGCAAGGGCCGGGCAAGACCGGUGCCAGCCGCCGCGGUAACACCGGCGGCCCGAGUGGUGAUCGUGAUUAUUGGGUCUAAAGGGUCCGUAUCCGGUUUGGUCAGUCCUCCUGGAAAUCUGACGGCUUAACCGUUAGGCUUUCGGGGGAUACUGCCAGGCUUGGAACGGGGAGAGGUAAGAGGUACUACCGGGGUAGGAGUGAAAUCUUGUAAUCCCUGUGGGACCACCUGUGGCGAACGCGUCUUACCAUAACGGGUUCGACGGUGAGGAACCAAAGCUGGGGGCACGAACCGGAUUAGAUACUCGGGUAGUCCCAGCCGUAAACGAUACUCGCUAGGUGUCAGGCAUGGCGCGACCGUGUCUGGUGCCGCAGGGAAGCCGUGAAGCGAGCCACCUGGGAACUACGGCCGCAAGGCUGAAACUUAAAGGAAUUGGCGGGGGAGCACAAC